rnacentral:lncRNA from 1 species
UGAGGCUGUUCUGCAAGGGCGCGGGCCUGGCUGGUGUUGUUUCUAGGCAGAGGCUGGAACCUGUGUCUCUUGUUUUGAUAAAGCUUUGCUGUCAGAGUUUGAGCAAUAGGUGUGGAUAUCUUGAAGCAAGAUAGUGGCCAAGUCCUCAUCUAGGAAGCAGAGAGCUAAGCUGAAGAGGAAAUUUGCAACCAAGGGAAACAACCAGCAGGGACCAGAUCAGAAAAAGGUGGAAAAACAUAACCCAGAGGCACACUUUGCUUUGUUUAGAACACAUUUUCCUGUGAACCCCAAAAGCUGUGCCAGGUGUGUGAUGAGCAGCCGUGGACGGCGGAGCCCACCUGGGGCCUGCUUCCCACUCCCUCCCUGCUCUGCUCUCAGGUGUCAUCUUGGAGCUGGCGCUGCCAGGUCACAUGGUCCUGUGCACCCUGUACUGUUGGAGGUUAGCACGUGUCCAGCCCACUUUACCCAGGAUCUCUCAAUGGCCGUGAAGCCUUCUGCACUGUCCCGUUAAUCCUCAGGUGCUCUCUGGUUCUGGCCUCAUUGAGAGGCCACGGGUUCAUUUCUCCUAAGAUGUCUUCCAGCCAGUGUAUUCUCUGACCUGGGGCUUGGUCUCAAGGCCUCCGGCUCACAGAGACCUAGCCGGGGACAGCCCUGGCUCUGGGCAAGGACAGGAGAGAACCCCAGAGGCAUGCACACAGUUUUUGGGUAUGUGGGUGCCAGCUGAGGUCCCAGCCGGGUUUCCUAGGAAGUCCAAGUAUCACAUCCCACACCUUGGGUGGAAGGGAAAGAGGACAGAGGUGGGUCAGUUGGGUGAGGGGCUCCCAGGGACCCAGGUCCAGAGGGUGAGUGGACUUUUAUCCCUUUCAGGGACUGGAGGAUCAAAGUGCAAAAGAUCCCAAAACUUCCUGUCACCAUACCUCACUAAUUAGGCAACUCCUGGCAAUUCGACUUUGGACUUUGCUCUUGAAAAGAAAAUCCUGGUAGAUCCAGGAACUCGGCAAGACGUCAGCGUUUGCUCAGGGGUUGAGGUCCCCUGAACCAUCUAGGUCACCUGCCCCAGACUGGUGGUUAGUCAUGGCCUGAUAAUAACAAGAGAGUACGUCAAGCUUCACGUGUGCUUUGGCAUUCAGUGCUCAUAUCUGUGUGUCUUGCCGUGACCUCGAGGAUGAGCAACGGUGGCCUACUAGGUGCUCACCUUCGAGCACCUGCUGCCCUCCUGCCCCUGUUCCAUGCACGGUCGACGCAUCUUCUCUCUCAAUGCUCACUGUAGCCGUGAGUGAUGCAGCUGUCACAUCAGGAGUGGACCAGGCUCCCGCAGGAUGGGGAACAGGCCUGCCCACAGGGCUCAGGGGGCCACCAUCUUCCCAGGCCAUGGAACAGGGAGAGACCAGGUUAUCUGGCACCUGGACUCCCAUCUGGAGCUUGAUGCAAGUGCCCCCAGCAGAGGUAGAAGGUGAAAGGAGCUGGCCUCAGAUGGCCCCUGUGACCACUGCCUUGUUGCCCACCCAGCGUUGCUCUCUCUUGGGAAGAUGGUGUCACCUACCUUGGCCCCAGUCUGUGGGUUCAGGGUGAAGACCCCUGUGUAUCCAGCUGCUCAGCUGAGAGGACUGUUAUGAACAGGGUGCAGGGCAGGAGGGGGCAGGGACCUCUUCCAGGGCUGCUGCAGGCCCCGCUGUGCUGGAGAAACUGGAGAGGACCGUGGCUCCAGGUGAGCGCUGGGUGGGCGAAGGUGGCUGUGGCAGCAGCAAAUGGCAGGGUGAGGGCUGAAGAGCAAGGAGCAGUAGAGUGCCAGAUAAGGGACCCUCGCCCAGGGGUGCAGGCAGGAGCAUGUCCCGCUGAAGGCAAAAGCUGCAGGAGGGUGAACCCAUGUUGUCCCAUGUCCCCAGGUGGCAGCCGUGUUGCUGAGGACACCGUGUAGGGGAGCACCACCUCCUCCCAGGCCACCUGCCCACUGAGGUGCAGACACACUCCUGAUUUCCUCUGAGACAGGGUAAAGCGUGGGUUGUUAGGACAUUUCUUAAUUGCAGGGAGACUACAUGGCAAACUCCUAGAGGCAAGUAUGUGGCUCUGUGUCCUGGUGAUGGUGACGGGGACUAGGCUGCCUGGGGCAGCGGGCCUCGGUGCCUACGGCUCUAUUCUGGAUGUUCUGCGAGUGCGCUUACUGCGAGGUCAUGGAGGAGAGCGGCUGGCAGGACAGAAACGAUCCCGGUAGAGUUUUUCAGGGUUAGAAGGAACGGAGGUCCCAGAAGGUUGAGUGGAAACUGCAUCUGGUGUGGAGGAGGGUCCGGAUCCACCCUCAUGUCUGACAGCUCCAUGCCUGGGGUGGGGAGCACCCGUGCUUGACCAGGUGUGAGUCAACUUGGGGACGUGGUUCCUGCAGGGAGGGGCAGCAGGCAGCAAGUAGGUGGCCUUGGGGGUCCAUGCUAGGAGCCUCUGCUGGAGGUCUUGGGAGACCGCUGCCUGCUCCCAGGGGAGUGGCAGUUCUCUGUGGUCUGAGUCCCAGGUGACACCCGCCUAGGAGGAUGAAGGGUGCUGGGAGGGAAUUCCCUGUGUAUCUUCUCCCACCAGGUCCCAGGGAAAAUGCCCAGGGAGUAGUGAGCAUGAAGGUGAGGGAGGAGGAGGCGAGCUGCCCAGGAAAGUCAGAAGUGAGGGCUAUGCCAGGCGGAGGCACAAAGGGAGUCCCGUGGCCAGGCAGACAGGAGAUGGGAGGCCGAGAGGGAGGCCAGCGGGCUCCAGGACAAAGAGGGUGGGAAGAAGUGUGAGGCAGGAAGUGCUUCAGGCUCUCAGGUGGGGAAAGGCUGCCUGCUCUGCAGAGGAGCCUGGAAACCAGUAACAGGAUAUGGAGGGGCCAGGAGAGGAAGGCCUGCCUUCCUCAGGGAGGGAACAAUGGCCAUUCUUCCAUUGAAGGCUGACAUGCCCUGAGAGAGGAAGGGCCUGCCAGGAGGGAGGGCCAGUCAGGGGACAGGAAGGAAGGGGCCAGAGCCUGCACCGACCAGAGGAAGGCCAGAGGCCCCUGCAUUGCAUUUGGAACUCAAUACACCCGCCUCCAGAGCACCAGGCAGCCGGCAAGGUCCCCAUGGCCAUGGCGUCACUGCUGUGGCUUUCCCAGGAGCCCUGCCCCUGCUCUUCCCUCCCCUUGGCCUCUUCCAGGACCCCAGGUUCCAGCCUUGCUAGGGCAUCCUGAGGCUGGUCGAGGCCAGGGUCUCCCACACCACCUGCUGGGUUCUGAGACUUCCCAUCUACACACACGGGAAGAAGGAGCUCCCAGCAUAAUAAAGGAAUCGGGCCAAAGUAAUCAAGGCCCCCAUCCCCCCAAGGCGCCCGUUUCCAGGACAAUCAGGGCCGCCCACUGAACAACACUUGCUCAGUACAAAGGAAGUGCAUGACGGGUCCAGGGGAAACGUCUGAUUGUUGGGCACACAACAAUGGACGGGUGGACUGAAUGGCACUCACAUGUGAGGUUGCUGUGCCGAGCAGCCCUUCGGAAUCCUAGAGAGCACCGUGGAGUGGCAUGGGGCGCUCCCACUGAGGACUGAGAGGUGUGGCCUUCACACUCAGUCCUUCCCUUGGGGCUGCGCUCUGUGGGAGUGACUCACACACUUCAUGCCUCACCUGCCUUGGCCUGGUUCCCCAUCCCCUCGACAGGAGGUGGGCCCUUUGUCAACAGCAGCGGGUGGCACCAUGGACUUCAUUUGGCAUGAGAUGAGGAUCAGGGGGCCAAGGUAGCUGAGAGGAGGAAGCAAAAGAAGGGCUAGGGGACCUCAGGGAAAGCAGGCCUGUCAUUUGCCAAGGACUGGAUGUUUGUGACCCCUUCGCCCCAACCCCCAGUGUGACUGUAUUUGGAGAAAGGGCCUUUGUCAUGAUGCUCAAGGAUAAAGGAGGUCAUUAGGGUGAGCCCCGAUCCAAUAGAAUUAGUGCCCUUCUGAGAAGGGACAGAGAGAGCUCUCUCUCUCCACUAAGCAAGGACUGAGGGAGAAGGUGGCCCUUUGUGAGCAGGGAAGGAGGUCCUCACUAGGAACCAGCAAGCCAGCGCUGUGGUCUCUGCUUCCAGUCUCCAGACCCACAGUGUCCCAAGUAGCUGGGAUGUGGUUGUUGUGCCUGCCCUGGGGGACUUCAAACCUGAAAGACUGAAGAGAUGAAACUCUCACUGCAUGUUCUCACUUCCAGGUGGGAGCUGGAAGGUGGUCUCAGAAGUGGAGGGCAGAGUAGUGGCUGUGGCAUCUGGGGACAUGCUGGGGAGGAGGAACAUGGAGAGGGUAGUUCCUGGGUAUAGGCACGCAGCCCUAGGGGAGGAACGACUUCUAGAUUCCAAAGCAGGUAGGUAACUAUUGUUGGUAGCAAUGUAUGGAACGUUUCAAAAUGGCUAGUAAAGAAAGAUUUUGAAUGUUCCUGACACAAAGAAAUGAUCAAUGUUUCCGGUGACAGACAUGCCAAACACCCUGACCUGCACCUUCCACACUGAGGAUGUUGAAAUAUCACCCUGCACCUGGUAAUCAUGUACAAUUACUAGGUGACAAUUAAAACUAUUUUACAAGAAGGGUCAGGAAGUUUCAGGGGAAAAAGGUCCUUCAAGGCCAUCUGAGACAUUGCCUGUCCAGUUGACAGCAGCCCUCCCAAGGCCCACAGAGCCUCCCCAGUCCACUCAGCGUGUUGUGCUGACUUGGUCUUGUUGGCACAGGCGGAGGAGCAGAGGCUCCGGACACCUGCACCCUUCUCAAGGCUUCGCCCUGUCUCUAUGGGGCCCCUCACCUGCAGGCGUCAGUGGGUGCCACUCCAUCCCGGUCACCAGUAGGGGCUGUGUCUUCUGGCCGGUGGUCAACAGCAGGAGAGGUCAGCUCUUCAUGAACCAGGCCCAUCUUCAUGCAAAUGUGUCUGGGAAUAGCAGGGAGCAGAACUGCAGGGUAUUUGUGGCGGAGAGAAGUGGGGCUGCUGGGGAACAGAUGCUUUAUUGGGCUCCUGUGGAGCACCAGCUGCUCCUCUAAUGUGUCCACUUCAGGCUUUCAGUGGGGAGCGACUGCUCCAUAAGUAGCAGGCAUAUGAGCCAGGCAUGGUGGCCACGCCUGACAUCCCGGUGACUCGGAGGCCGAGGCAGGAGGAUGGCAAGUUCCAGGCCAGCCUCGGCAACCUAGGGAGACCUUGUCAUGGGAUAAAAGUUGAAAGGGCUGGGUGCAGCUCUUGGUAGGUUGCCCUGCAGUCUCCAGUGCUGCGGCACGAGGAACAGGCACGGAGCAGGGUGUCACUGUGCCUGGGGACCUGCCAGAGCCCACAUGCCUCUCCCAGUGACACCUUUGUGCCUGGCCCUGGGCGCCUUCUCAUUUUCUCUAAGUUUUAUAAUCUUUUCCUUUUUUCUUUACUUUCUAUUUUGGAGAAAAGUCCUACCUCAGGAAAGUUGCAAGACUAUUUAGAGGCGCAGGUUUCCUCCUCUUCUGGGCAGAGACAUUACUGGUAGCUUUGUCUGGGCAGCUUGAGGUCCAGCUGUAGGCAUUGCAGCCCCCAGGUAACUCCAUGCUCUCUUCACCUGCAAUCCUGUCGUCUCUUCGGGGCCCAUAGUUAUGGCUGCCCAGAUGUCCCAGGGCCACGAUUGCCCCAGGGGAUUUGCUUAUCUUGUCUCUUUAGCCCUCUUUAUCUGGAACAAUCAGUAGCCUUUCCUGGAAGUUCACAGCACUGAUUCUGGGAUUGUGCGGAUCUGAAGAGGGAAGCAGAGUAGCGGGACUGCCAAGAGUGACCAGUGGACAUUUGUGGGGAGCACGGGUCAGGCUCAGGAGGGGGCUUGGGGCUAGGAAGGAGGUGUGGACAUAAGGCCACAGGGAAUGACUGUUGGAGAGGUCUGAGGAGGGCCACUGCUCCCAUCCAUGGGCUAGGCCUGAGCGUGGCCAGCAGGUAGGCAGCUGGGGUGGGGAGGACAGAGCAAGGUAGUGCUAAUGGAACUACAGUGGCCAUGUCUGUCACAAGAGAUAUUGGUGACCUCCACAGGGAGCUGCCCUGUGCCUGGGCUGUCCCUUGGAUGAGGUGAAGGAGGAGUCAGGAGUCCUGGUGUGGAGGUGCCCAGCAGCGGGUGGUGUGAGCGUCUGCAGAGCCUGUGCCCCUCUUGUGCACACAUCCGCCUUGGUUGCACGAGCCCUUGUGCAUCCCACAAACGCCUCUGCACUCCUGUGAGGGAUCUGGUGGGAGCAGGAUGGUGGACGCAGGCAUGACAGCACUCCAGGCCGCAGCCCUGGCUCUGCCCCAUGGCACCCAUCCCACCUGCUCCUGGUGACUUUUCCCUGUGAGCCUGCAAGCUUCCCAGGGAGGACAGGCCCAGUCUGUCCACUGUGGCAUGUCACUAGAACUGCCUGGAGCCUGGCAUGGAGUCCUCACAACUGACAGAAGAGGUGAACCCGGCUCUGCUCUUUCAAAGCCGCUGAAGUUCUCCCUGGAGAUGACCUGGACAGUUAGGUUCCCACUUGAGACACUGCUGAGUCCAACCACCUUCAAUGGUGAUGUUGUCUCAGGAUAGACUGUUCUAAUAAAGGGGGGGAUUCAAUUCCAAGUACAGAUGACCCAGUAUAAUCCAAAAUAUCAUGAGAGGAGUUUAUUUCCUCACAUAGACCAAGUCCAGAGCAGCCACUAAGCCCUCGGGGACCUGGCUCCUUCCAUACACUGCUCUGCCCAUCCUUGGGUGUGGUCUCAUCCUCUUGUGCCAGGCUUUCAGUGGGGAGCGACUGCUCCAUAAGUAGCAGGCAUAUGAGCCAGGCAUGGUGGCCACGCCUGUCAUUCCAGUGACUCGGAGGCCGAGGCAGGAGGAUGGCAAGUUCCAGGCCAGCCUUGGCAACCUAGGGAAACCAAGAAGGAGACUCCACAUUUCAGGCCAGUGGGAGGGGGGUGACAAAGAAGCAGCUCAACAUGCAGCCACAGGACCUUCUGUGUAUACCCCACCAUCUGUUAGCUUCUCCCGUGGUGCAAAGGAGGCUGGGAAUGCCAUCUUUUCUCUGGGUGGCAUGUGCCCAGGGAAAAGGCCUUGCUCUGGGGAGCAGUGGUCUGGCUUUGUCUGGCCACCAGCAGUCCUUGCCAUAGCUGAUUUGGGGAAGGCCUGGUGUGUCUUUCUUCUUACUCCCUCUUGUGCAGAAUGGGAUGGUGACCAGAGGCUUGGGCCUGGCACUCUUGGGACAGGGGUGAGGCUGGUCCACCUUAGCUUUUGCUAGAAGUGGGGCCAGUUGGUGGUGGUGCAUUGUGAUUGGCUUCCUCGUGUUAAGUGGCACCAGGCAGUCCAUGAUGCAGGGAAAAGGGCAGGCAUCACCUAAAUGCCUGGAAAAACCCAAACCAAAUCAGCAGCAACCACCCCAAACCCGAGAAAGCUGGUUACGACCUAGGGGCCAAGGGGGGAAGGGAGGAGACCCGCAGCAGGGCCAUGAGUCCGUCAUGGCGACUCUCUGGCCUAGUCUGUGGCGAUGUGAUUGAAGAGUGCAUUUACUAUCAGUGGAUUUUAAAUCUCCUUUUAAAAGCGUGAGUCUCAAGGGAGUGUGUCAGAGGCGGGCAGCUGCUCCCCAGAGGGCAGUUUCCAACUUACUGUGGCUGAGCCUAUUUUGUUUUAUUAAAGAAGGCCAGCUGAACCUGCCUCUGUUCUCAUGCUGUGGACUCAGAAUGCAGAAAGCAGAGCUGCCUCUGCAGAGCCCAGCCAGUAGGAUGCCAACGAGGGACCAUCCUCGCUCUGAGCCCUCACUGCCUUCUGGACUCCAGGUGGACCCUGAGGGUGGGGGAAGCAAAGGCUGUGGGUAAAGGAGGGGCAACGUGCUCCUGUUUGAGCAGAUUCCACCUGAAGAUGAAACGCUUGUAUUCAUUCAAGGCCCCUCCGUCCCCGGCCUGGACGCUCCGUUUCGGCCAUUGCACAGGACCUCCAUGCAUGAGUAUGUGCCCAUAGGCUGGGCCUCGCAGGGCUGGAGCUGGUUUUUAGCUGUGUCUGCUUCUGUCUAAGCCCUUACGUGUGCGGUGGGCCAGAGAGGCAAUGUAGGACACUGCGUAAAUCCACCGGGGAGUGAACAAAUCCAAAGCCAGGGCAGCCGCUGAUGUGCAGGGCACACUGCAUUCUAGUCCUGGGCACCCAGGCCUCAGGCAUCCAAGGCAGCCAUAGAAGGCAGGGCUGUGUUCUCGCCUCUGGGGUGAAGGGAGGGAGCUGGGAGACUCUGAGUGACUUGUCUGCUGGUCCCUGUGUGAUGGAGGUGGGAUCAGGAUGGGGCAGUCUAGAGCGGGGCAGCUGGCAUCAUCACCGCCAGUGGAUGCUUGUGCAGGACAGGAAGGUGCUCCCUGGUACAGGCGGGGAGCCCUGGGCUUGGAUGGGAGUACAGAGCAAUGCCCCACAUAGUUCCCCCCACACGCCACAAGCCAGCCAGUGGGGUCAGCCGCCCUCCCUUUAAACAUGGUCACUGUGGAUGGCGAAGAUCCUCAGCUGGCUCAGCCCCUGCUCUUCUGUAUCUUGCUUUUGCCAAGGCAAUAGUAGCCCUUUGGCUUUGGGUCUGAGUGAAGAUGCACCUCCUCAGAGGGGGUCUCCUGUCCCAAGCUCUUUGCUGUGAGGCCACAUCACCAGCAUUACUCAGGUCACUUUGACCUGCCAGCUUUUUUAUGUCUGUUUACCAAGCCCUAGAGAGGAGGAGCCACGGUUGGACUCUUCCCUCAUGUGGCACUGACAUGACCAUGAACUGCAGCAUGGUUUCUCUGGUCUCUUGGCAACCCGCCGGCUGCCCUGGUACCACUGGGCUGUGGACAUGGCAGGUGUGUUCCUUGGGAGAUCAUCAGUCUAGUGGUAGCAAUGGGAGGGCCCCAGUGACACUGUGAUCUCCAUCCACCUUGGGAGUAGCCGAUGGGGUCCAUUGAGGUGAGCUGAAGCAGGGAGCAGGUGAUGCGUGGAUGAAGCUUGGGCUUCUGGAGGCAAGGGACACACAAGGAAGGGGACAGUCCAGCCACAGUAGGCAAGGAGGUCCAGGCUGUGGUGCCGGGUCUGUGAGUGUGUUCAGUCCCGUGGGGAUCUGCAUUCAGUGUGCCUGUCUAGCUUGACUCCAUUGGUAGCCUUGAGCAAGUGUCUUACCUAGCACUGGGAGCCUGGCCUGUGUCCUGACUGUGGCUUCCUGGGCUUCCAUGACCCAGCCCCUGAGCAGUUGCUGGUCCUCUUGAUGGCCUGGCUCCAACACUUGGAGCCUAGUCAUUGGUGCUGUCCUUCAGUCCUAGACCUUUCCCAACCCUCGCCCCCAUCUGUCCUCCGAUUGCCCCCGGCUCCCUGGACUGAGCCUCCUCCAGUUUUUCUCGGUCACUACCCUGUCUCAUGAAGGGUCCUGCCCAGCCUGGGCUCCUGUGGCCUGGUGUCUGCUGAAUUGCACUGAGCCUGGCAGUGGGAAACAGAUUGAUGAUCGCACAUCUUCCAGGCCCAGGAAGCAGAACCAGCCAUGUUCGUUUUGCUACAGAGGAGGGUAGUGUAGCGUGGAGCCCAGGGCUCACUCGCUAUGUGCUGUUUUGAAUCUGAGUUAGAGUCAAAUUUGUCUCUGAUUAUCUGGGUGAACUCCUUAACUAUUUGUUUGUAAUACCACCAACUAUUUCCAGAUGUUAGCGCAGCAUGUAUACCGUGCCACUGAGGGUGGAGGGGUUAGUGCUGAAACCAUUUUUAAUAUAAGAAAAAUGCAUAUGGAGAAAUUAAAUCCCCUACUAAAGAUCCGGCAUUGUUUACCCACCACAGGUUUUUUCUUGGCUGGAACACAUCUGUCUCCCUCUUAUUCCAGCUGCUCCCGCCAGCUCCAAACACUGGGAUUACCCGAUUCCUCUCUGGUGGUUCAGUGAUCUGGCAUCUAGAGACCAGCAAAGGCAAUUUCAGAGUUCUACUAACUCCCAUUUGGAAAUAAGUGAUAGUCUCAUGGGGUCACCAUGAAGAUGAAGGGGGGCAGCAGACAGAAAGCACCUGCGAUGGCACCUGGCUCCUGCUCAAGUUUUGGUGAAGACCAGUUUGUCUUUCUCCUUAGGAAGACCCAUUUUCUCAACACCUGCACUAGAGACCUUGCUGCCUCUGAUGUGGGCUUAUCUAUGGCUGAUCCAGAGUCCAGAGAUUGGGUAGAAAGAACAGGCUUGUGGAGCUGGGAAGACAUGUGUGUGAAUCCUGGUUUGUGUCUUCCUCCCCGGUGGCCUUAGGUGCAGCAGCUUGGCUGAGUGUCAGGGCCUUCAUUUGUAAAUGGAGAACGUCCUGCUGAGAACACGGGCCAAUGGUGAAGUAUUGCACAGAGAUUGCUGUUAUCACUGUGUCUGCCACCAAUUUUGGUAGUAAUUUGUCACCAGAGCAUCGUAUUCUCAGGUAUCUUCAUGGGUGCUAUGAAACUGCUGUAUUGUGAUGCCAAUCAUUCAUUUAUUCAUCUAACUAAUAUGUAUUGUGUGCUUGCUCUGCGACAGGCACUAUUCCAUGUGUUGGGAAUGCAAGAGUCAGCAGGGUAAGCCUCAGUCCAAUGGGUGUCACAUUCUGGUGAGAGGGACAGACAAGAAACCCAUAGGUCAUGGAAGUCUCUGUAGGUGUAACAGGGGCUCAGAGAUGAGUUCGUUGGAGAGACUCACAGUCUGGCUGGCAUACCCAGGCUGGCAGUGAGACAGCAGUUCCUGGUCUUCUCGACCAUUCAGCUUGUUCCUGGCGGGGUCUUUGUAGUGCCCAGCCUUGAGCAGCCUCCCUUUUUGACCCUAGGGCCUUCUUCUUCCCCUCCAGCCCUUUCCUGCACAGGCUCAGGGGCCUUCAUUGCACUUUGGCCCCUGACUCCCAAUCUACUCUCUUCCUGGAGAAGGAGGUUCCCGGAGCUUUGAGAGGAAUGUUUAGCUGCUCUCCAGAAGCAGCUCAGGAAGCUAGAUCAUGCUUCUGGCUGUUAAGAAGCACUUUCUAGAGGAUGGCCAUUCUCCACCCCCAGAUGGCUCCCUCACACCCCUGGCCAUGCUGACUCUCGAGGCCUUGUUCCACCGAGGUGUGGAGCUACCACCAUUGGGGCAGCCUGGUAUCUCCCCGCUUUUCUCCACCUACUAGAUUCUACCUACCUAUGACGUCCACCUCAGCAGUAGAGAACGUGAGCUGAUUCCCCAUAUCUCUGAUUCUGGUGGUCCAAAAGCCCUGAGGUUUUGUUGGACACACAGCUAAAAGUGAGGUCUUCUUCUCUGCCUGGUGGACCAUGUGACUGGGGACUCCUUCCUUCCUUCCUUCCUUCCUUCCUUCCUUCCUUCCUUCCUUCCUUCCUUCCUUCCUUCCUUCCUUCCUUCCCUCCUUCCUUUCUUUACCGGGGAUUGAAUUCAGGGGCACUCACCACUGAGCCACAUCUCCAGCCCUAUUUAGAGAAAGGAUCUCACUGAGUUGCUUAGCGCCUUGCUUCUGCUGAGGCUGGCUUUGAACUCACAAUCCUCCUGCCUCAGCCUCCUGAGCUUCUGGGAUUACAGGUGUGCACCACCACGCCCAGCCUCCCCCUGCCUUUCUGGCUGGUAUGGCUGUGCAGUUGGUGUCAGGACUUGGUUUCUUGGCAGAGUAACUAGUUGGAAGGUGCCUGGUCCUGGAGUUGGUGCAGCUUGCCCCACAGUCCUGGACCAUGGGUGCUUGUGUAAUCAUCUCAGAGAAGCUGUGGAUCUCCCUCUCAAAAGCCGCCGUUAUUUGGGUUAUAGGUCAGGUUAGAGACCCCAACUUGAGAUCCGGGACAUUCUUUCUGCUCUGUGAAGUCCUCCCAACCUGUCUCUCCAAAAUAUCUCCAAGGAAUGUGAUUCUGCCUCAGUGAAAGUGGUUCUGUGUCUCUGUAGGAGCAGACAAACCCUGGACAAGGCAAGCCCAGGAGCAGGAGCCUGUCUGCCCGAGAGCCAGCAAGGCCCCCUGACUUCAUCCUGGUGCUUUGUGAGUGUCUGCCGGCAAAUCCUGGGUGAUGGAGAGUGAUCCUGCUCCUUAUGGAGAGCAAAGACUCCAAAGCAGCACUGUCCAGGAGCAAGGUAAUGCAGAGCAUGUGUGUCAUUUCAAAUUCCCUACUAGCCACAUUAGGAAAAAAGAAGAAGAAGAAGAAGAAGAAGAAGAAGAAGAAGAAGAAGAAGAAGAAGAAGAAGAAGAAGCAGCAGCUAGUGAAAUUAAUUUUAGCCUUAGGUUUUAUUUAUAUCUACACAUCUGAAUAUUGCAAUUUUCCUUAGUAGUCAACAUAAAACUUAUAACUAAGAAUGUCUGACAUUCUUUCCCCCCGGCUGUCUUUGAAAUCUGGUAUUUUGCUCUUAGGGCACGUCUCAGUUUGAACCGUGUGCUUGCCGGUCACUGUGGUGAAUGGCUGCUGUCUUGGACAUGGCAUACACGGAGGGCCCAAGGCCCUGGAAGGGUGGGGAAGAUGAGGAUGGGCCUCAUGGGGGCUCAGCUGUGAGGCUGAGACAGGAAUCCUCCUUUGAAGCCAGGUUCACAGCACUCGCUGGGCACAGGGAUCUGUGAUUCGUGGGCUACGCUGUCUCUUGGUCACUGCUGAGCGACUUGGAUAUAGAAGGUGUGUUUGGGAAGAGCCGUGAAUAGAAACCAGGCUGUGGGUGCAUCUGUAGAGAUGCCCAAAGCCCACCCCCUGACCUGCCACCUCCACCUUAGUAUACAUAGGCUCCAUUUCUAAAGAGCAAGCCCCUCUCAACCUUUGCCCGGAGGUAUGGUGGCGUGGGGCGAAGAGGUAGGUCAGGAGCACCCAGGUCUGGCUUUUCACCUCUGCUGCCCGAGUGGCCCUGGCUAAGCCAUUUCAACUCUCUAUGCCUCAGUUUCCUCAGGAGGCCUCCAAGAGCAGCCUAGUGGGCACAGAACCAGCUCUUCAAAAGAGGCGAUUUGCAGCCUGGUGACGAUGAGGGGCUCAUGGACCAGCUCUGAUGACCUGGGUGCAGGGGGAAGGACACUGCAGGCUCCGUGGAGGCACCCAAGGGAGGACAUUAUUCCUGGACCAUUGCAGCAGCAGGGGUUUCCGUCCAAGGUACCUGGCCAGGAAAGGUUGGCCUUGGAGAAAGUGGCCUCAGAGCUUGAAGGAGGGAAGGGCGGCCACCACAGGGGCGGAGCAGAGGUGGUGUCAUCCAGAAGACAGCCGAGGAGGGGACCUUGCCUUUCCUCCUCUCAGGGAAGCCCCUGUGGUGCUCUGGAGUCUGCAGGGGGUUCUGAGUAAAUGGGGCACAAAACACUGCAGCAGCCCCCUCCCCCUCGCCCCCCAGGAGGGGGAAAGUCUCAGCCGUUACAUGGAUCCCUUGAGGGGAAGGGAAGCAAAGAAGGCCUGAAACCCCCUUCAGGCCUCAACUUUUUAUCUCAGGCUGAACUCUUCUUGGCCGUCGCUCGCCCAGGCAGCAGCUGUGGUCUCUACGUGACUGCAUGCAGUGAUCCAGCCAUGAGGCACUGGGGCUGCUCCUGCUGGGGCCCCUGUGGAGGAGGCUUGCUGGAGGCCAGCUGGGAGGGGAGUUUAGGAAGGAAACGGGUCUGAGUUCCAAAGCUUGAGGUUCCAGUCUCCAGAAUAUGAGAGCAUCCCUGGAGUAGCAGAAGCCCAGCUCGCUGUGUCGGUCCUGAAAAGUUGAGUGCUGGAACUGCCAGAUGGCUUCAGAAACUUGGGAUUCUGUACUUGGGAAGUGCCAACCUUUCUGGAGGUGGCUGUGCUUUGGGGUGAGCAGUUGAGGAAAUAAAAGAGGCCAGGGCCAACACCCUGCAGAAAACUGCUAGGCCAGCACUGCAAGAGGCUAGACAACCCCCAGGCCAAGUGCAUCCUUGCUGGGGAGAGAAUUUGCAGGGAGGAAGCGUGUCAUUAAUUGGACGGGGCUCCUUCUGUCUCCUACUUGUGGGGACAGCCAGAUGUUUUUCCACAUUGAAGGCUCGUCCACUAAAGACCCAGGCGAGCCUGCGUGUGUCCUGCUGUCUCUUAGUGGGGUAGUUUUCUUGGUGGCUCUGUGUAGAAUGGAAGUGGGGAGUUUCCUGGGGGUGGGCAUAUGGUGUACACACGUGCUCAGCAGUGUUUGUGGGAAGGGUGCACGGGGGAUGUCACGCCUGGCGAGGAGGAAGAGCCACUGGGUCACUCCUGUGUCCCUCUCUGACGCAUUCUUAGGUAGUCUCAUGAAGAGAACCGAAAGUCCAUCUUUCUUGCCAGAGUCUUGCUGCUCAAAUCCCUCAACUAAGGGAGAAAAAUCCAAUAAACUUGAAAAGCCUCCCCAUCCUGGAGUGUCGGGGAUUAGUGGUCAUGCUCGACUUCGAAUUAUCCAAGGUGCAGAUCCAGAGCUGAGCUGGCUGGGUGCAAGCAGGGUCCUUCUGCUUACUAGCUGUGAGGCCCCCAGCACUUCACCCCCUCCCCUUGCUGGACCUUAGUUUUCCUAUUUGGAAAAGGAGGUGCCGACACCCUGAACCUGCAGCUCCCUGGAUCAGGUGGAGCUUUGGACGUUGGUGGGUGUGUGGCCAGCGCUCCUCUGUGGGACCUGGGCUGAGGCUGUCCACACGAUGUUCUUUUUGUCUUCCAGGGGAGCUGGUACUGGACUGGCAUUCGAGGGCAGGAAUCCCCGGGGAGACUUGGAUUUGUUAUAGAAACCCACCCUUCAACUUGGCCAGCCCGUUUCAAAAUAGGGAGUUGACCCAAUAGCUUUGGUGAAUGCUCGUAGUUUAGACAGUGGGAGAGGCAGGAGAAGGCACUCCAGAGACAGCCUCCACAGAGGCUUCCGGGGCAGAGUCGGGGCAGAGUGGGGACAGGCGCCUUCCCUGGGGCCAGUGAUGACACAGUUAGAGAAUUUAAAGAUGAGAAAAACCAACCAGCCUCGGAGACUACUGUUUAUCAUCGCCAUGCAACAAGGGGUUAGUAUCUGUGAGAGGAUUUCCCUCUCCAUGAAAAAGAAUUUGUUCUAAGUUCUAAACAAUUGAUACAGUUACUGUUGAGCUGCUGAGUUUUAAGAAAAUAAAUGAGCUCUGUGGUGCCUUUUGAUUACUUACUUAUCCUUCAGGAGAAGUUGCAUUCUCUGUGGAAAACAGCUGGCCCCCAGUCCGUGCUUGCUCAGUGACAUGGCUCAUUUUGAGAGUAAAUUCAUAAUAGACUGGAACUUUCUCUCCUCACUUUAUAGAUAGUUCAUCUGUCCACCUUCUCAAUACAACAUAUUCUUUUUUUUUAAAGUGGGUGUAUCAAAAUUGAACGGAAUAUUAUGCAGUUAUCAACAAUAAGAAGUUGGAUCAGUGUAUGAUCUAAUAGAGGACAUAUCAUACAAUGUCCAACAUGCAGUGUUCAAGUAAGUAAGCAAGUUGCAGAACACUUAAAAUAUUUUAAAAGGUAGCAUUUACAUGUACUUACAUGUGUGUACACACAUGAAAUUUGUACAUGAGAAGAAUCUCUCAAAGGACAGAUAAACAAUUUUGCAGACUUAAAAGGAGAAUGAUAGCACAGAAAUGCAAAGACAAAGACCCAAACCACUUCAAUUCUCUCAUUCUGUCACUGCUUGGGGAUUUUGUUUAUGUUAAAAAUUUAACACAGUGAAACAGAGUAUGAAUCAGGAGUGCAGCAUUUUCGUCUGGUAAAUGCAAAUUUUGGUUCAUAUAUUAUUUUAUUGAUAUUUUUAAACACUGGCAUCUUUCUUUCUAAAUUGUUUAUUUGAAAGAUAAAGAACGUAUGUAGGGGGUGAUGACUAUUUCUGGUUAUCGAGUGGCUCCUAGGUGAGUCAUUUCUGCACAGGGGUGCGUGCCAUGGUCUGCUCCGGUGUCCAUACACUGCGCCGCUCACCUCUAAUCAAAAUUUGAAAAUGCUCUGGGGCAUUAUUAUCCCCACAAGAUUUGCCUGGAGGAAUGAUAUGACCAACACUGGCAAAUCCAUGGCAAAUCCAUUCUAGAAGGUUUUGAGUGAUUUCAGGAGCAUCCACUUUAUUCCUUCCACCAGGGACAUAUUGUUCUUUUUUCUCACCAUAGGAAACUCCCUAUUUCCUGACCCUGAAAUUCCUGGAAAAAACCUCUCUUAUUCUAGAGUUGAGAGACUGAAUAUGCCGAUGUGGUAGUGGCAGUUUCUUGGGAUGCAGGGGUCUCAGCUAAAGGAGCAAGGCACCCGCUGGGGAAAGUGUGGAGAGGGAGGACAGCGGCUCGCCCCCUCCUCCUAAGGACCCGUGCCCCUUGGGUCCUGGGGGCUGCUCCCACGCAGGCCUGCCUCCCUUUCCUGGUGAGUCUUGCGCCCUAAUCUACCAGGACGGCCUCUCCCCAAUGCUUCCUGGGGCUCUGUUAUUGGAGGGGUCUUCUGGCAGCAGAGCUCCCCCGCACAGCCUGGUGCAGGCACUUAGUGUGCUGAGUAGUCAGUGCACUGUGGCCCUGGCUGGGCAGGAGCCUGCGGCAGUCUGGGUCCAGAAUUGGCUCCUAGGGACAAAGACAAGACUGUAUCUGGCCAUUUGGGAGGAAUGGAUGUUUUAUAUGCGGACAAGAAGGUGGUUGGAACUCUCUCCUUUCCUGGUGACGAAGCUGUGUCGCCUCUUGGCUUUCUUGCUACAAAGGACUCGCAGCUGUUGUGGCGCUGUCCACGGGCCUUCUCUUGCACGGCAAGGCUCAGUGGCCUCAGCGUGUCUAGGAGGCCUAGGAAGACUGGCCUGUUUCCAGAGACACAUGCUUUUGCUGGGGGUGGGGGUGGCAGUUUGCAGCAGUUGGCAGAUGUGACCCUGGUGACAUCCAAGCUAGUAAGGUCUGCUGGGGGUCAUGGCUGUUGGUGAAACUGUCCAGGCCUCUUCUGCUGGGGCUUUGCGUCCUCUUCCCAAGUGUGAGAAGGCAGUCCCAGCAGGAAGUGUGGGGUUGACCAGGGACUUUAACAAAUGUUGACGGAUGGCUUUUGUGUCAUUGCAUGGGGCAUGCAGGCCAGUGAGGAAAGUCCCUGCCAGGCCCCAAGACCCUGUGAAUAAAAGCUGAAGGUGCUUCGAAGUUUCUAAAGUUGGUUAUUUGAAGAAAAAUGUGCAGCAGGGUCUUCUGUGUUUGUAGGGUGAGAGGAUCGAUUCUUUCUACACCACAGAGCCUGCCUGUAGCACCUGCCUCUAAAGUUUGCACACGGGAACAUGAAUCAAGCCUACAAGCAGUUAAAUAAAAUAUGCUCUGUUCUCAUAUUUUACAAAUCUAGGGGUUGGGGCUGGGGUUCAGUGACAGAGAACUUGCCUAGGAUGUGUGAGGUGCUGGGUUUGAUCCUCAGCACCACAUAAAAAUAAACAAACAAAAUAAAGCUAAAAAAAUAUCUAUAGUCACAUAUUUUUUUCAUAUAUUUCAAGACAAAACUGAAAAAUGUGUAAAGCUGUAGUUUUUUACAUGACCCAAAGCGGGCAGAUAUCAAAGAUGACUGAAUUAAUUAUUAAAUGUCCUUUUGUUCUAUUUGAAUGAUGAACAAGAUAAAGAUACACAUAAUUUAUAAUUACUCUAUAGUUCUCUAAAUUAAUUUUUUGCCUUCAUUUCAUCACAACCACAAAUCCUGUCAUUAAAAAUGAACAUUUUCACAUAAUUUUGUUCUAUUUAUAACAAUGAGCUAAGGGAUUUUUUUAAAAAAAUGUUAAUGUAUUUGAAAUAUGCACAAUUUAAAUAUAUUUUUAUCACAAAUGUGAAAGUAUAUGUAAAAACAUAAAAAAUGUAUUUUCUCAUAUAUAUUUUCAAAGAGAGUUAUUUUUUUCUUAUAAAACAUUAAAACUGGAAAGGCAAAAGUACAAAUUAGCAUUAAUAAAUGUCAAAAAGGUAGAUGAAAAUUAUUUAAAUAAAACUGGAUUUUAAAUGUUAAUUUAUGAAAAGUAAAUGAGAUCUUAUUAAAUAUCCUUGUAAAUAAUACCUCCCAAUUCUAGCAUUCGGUUCCCACCCAGCCACUGACAUAAAUUGGCAUCGCCCAAUGUCUUGCCCUUGGACCUACAUGGCUACCAGUUCAGAAAUCAUGGGAACCGUGGAAGUCUGCUCCACACUCCUCAUGGCCACGCCACCUGUGAUUGUCACGACGCCGUGUGACUUCCCGCAUCUCCAGGAGCAGUUAGAGCAGCAGCUCUCCUGGAUGGUUGAGUUAUGCAAGUGUCACUUGCUCCUCCUUCCUGCCACCCAGUGAGAAGGCCAAGGGCUCCUGUCUUUCCUCCUCCCUGUGUUGGGUUAGCUGCUCAAGUCCCCUCCCCUCCUGGGCCACCGUCCCGGGGGACAUCAACAGUCCUAGUAUGACCUGCAGAACUCUGGGGCACUUGGAGGCAGUGAGGCUUUCUUUUUCAUUCCAAGACCAGGCACAAAAUGUGGAGAUGGAUGGGAGACGCGUUUCCUGGGGCCUGAGUGGCCAUGGUUAUGGGGGUGGAUGUUUAGGGUUAAGAAUGCCCAGAGCCCUGGACCCCAGGCGACAGAGGGGCCGUGUGAAGUGGUCUGAACCUCGGGACUCAGGUCAGGUGUCCCUUGGCAGAGUCUUCUGGGCGUACUGACCACUCAUCCCGGGUACUGGGGUGACUCUUCUUGCCUUCUGGUGUGACUUACCUGGCUCUGCAGGGCUCGGUUUCUGGAUCAGCCAUCCUCUAUGGAAGAAGGAAAUUUCUGAGAGUCCCAGCUGCCCGGGGGCUCGUUCCAGCCCUGGCCAGUCUUGGGGUGGUGCAGCAUUGGAGCUGAAGCAAAGGUUGUGUGGACCUUGCUCUUCUAGUAGGGUCCUUCUCCUGAAGAUGUGGGAAGUCACAUGGCGUCGCAGCAAUCACAGGUGGCCGUGAGGAGUGUGGAGUGGCUUCCCAUGGUUUCUAUGAUUUCUGAACUGGUAGCCGAGUAGGUCCAAGGGCAAGACGUUGGGCGAUGCCAAUUUAUUCUAAUGCUAGAAUCGGGAGGUAUUGUUUACAAGGAUAUUUAUUAAAAUCUCAUUUACUUUUCAUAAAUUUAUAUUUAAAAUCCAGUUUUAUUUAAAUAAUUUUCAUUUACACUUUUGACAUUUAUUAAUUUCAAUCAAUGGCCAGUCUCGGAGUGGUUGCAGCACUGGACCUGAACAAAGGUUGUGUGGUCACCUGGGAGAAGUGGGUGCUCUGUGGUGGCAGGAGCUAUGGGGUGGGCCUUAUGUGUCUGUGCACUCCUCUCAGAGGCUGCUGCCCAGGUACUGUCUCAAAGCUGGACUUGAUCCUUGGUGGGUCUGAGCCUCAUCUGGCCCUCACUCCUGUGUCCCUGACUUCUCUUCCUAUUUCUGUGUCUUUCCCUCAGAUCCUGAGCUCCAUCAUGGUCUACUGCCUGGCAACUUCAACCGUAUCCCUGAUUCUCUCCUUGCUGGCCAGCUUUGCCCCAGUGGCUCCCCUCCUGCAAAUAGGGCAAAAGGCAUGGAGAUGAGACCAGAGUGUCCGGCUCUGGGGGUUUGAUGGACCGAGACAGACAAGUGAGCGUACAAGCAAACAUUUUGAAAACGAGCGCAUGAGUCAAUGGUCAGGACUGGUGCACGUUGAUUGGGGUGGAUGUAACUGAAGGGUCACUAGUAGGAUUUCCACAGCCAGCUGGCUCAGGGCCUCUCUGGUCACCCUGGGAAAGCCUUACUUUUUGAAAGGUUCCAGUCCUCUCUCAGUGAAAACACACGGGUGUGACAACACCCAUGGUUCCCUGACCUCCACAGACUGAGGUCUGAGCCCAUUGAAAUCAGGUGUCUGAAGUCACGCAGAAUGGCUUUCAGUGGUGCUGUGAGCCGACCGUUUCAGGGUACUCCUUCCUCCGAUUUCACAGAUGUGUCGGUUGGAUUUUAUUCUUAAGUGGCCUAAGCCAAAAGCAUCUUCUCCCAGAAACAGCAGGUUCAUUUCAAUUCAAUAUUUCACUUUGGACAACUGCUUGCCUUCAUUUAGCGCCGCAUGCUGGGACUUGGUCUCCCCGGGCGUUCUGGCUUCCCUCCCGUUAGCGACGGUGGCAGCAGUGCAGACAGAUUGAGGCCCCAGGAAGGCGGACCCCCCAACUGCGCGGCAGCAGUGAGCUGGGAGCAGAGGCUGUGCACGCUAAUGGUUGUGAGUGCUGCUUUUCCAGCCAUGAGCUGUCUAUAUCGCAUUUGCGUGGAGACACAAAACAUCUAACUAUCAGACGAAGCCAGACGCAACACCCAGCACAGAGAGGACAGCGUCUUCUCCAGCUGUGUCUGGUGCCCGGGGUCACCGAGGGGAAAAAUGACAAUGCCUUGUGUGCUGGGUGGUGGGUGGCUACAGGAUUUAGAGAAGUCUCUCUCACUACCCCAGGCAAAAAACCUUCGUUGUCCUCUGCCUGGGUAGAUUACUCCUGCAGACACUGGUCUGAGUCUAGGCUGAGCCCAGUCUGCCCUGCAGGGCUUCUCUGGUACUGGGGGUUGCAAAUGUGGAAUUCUGGGGGCAGCUCUCCAGGCCCAUGUGGAAAGAAGUGCUGAGACAGAACACAGAGGGCCCUGGAGGCCCGGGGCUGCAGCGCAGGGCUGGCCUCCGGCUUUUGUAGGUGAGGAGGGCCAUCCUCCUGCAGCACAGGUGUGCAGUGGUCUUGGGGCCGGGCAGGUGGGCUUGUUUGCUCUGCUGCUUCCUGUGGACAGUGUCCAUGGCUCUGGGAGGCUCUCUGCCAUCACAGGUCAGGUUGAGCGGCUUCCAGCUCAGGGUAUCUGGGUGUACGUGCCUCCUGAAAAGCCUUCUCUCCCUGGACUGGGAGCAGCUUCUUCUGCCCAGCAAAGGAAGUAGGUGAGAGGGAGGAAGACCCCUAUGUGUGGCUGGUGGCAGUGGCUCAGAGCCACAUGGGGCAGGGGAGACCCUGCUCUUACUGAUCUCCUCCUUGGAGGGAAGGUAUUAGGGCAUCAAGAACAUUCUUGCUGCUCAGACAGAGUCCUCUGGAGAAGGCGGCCCAGGUGGGUUAGGGUUAGGCACUUCUGUACUCUGGAGAUGGGAGCCUCGUCUGUGAUAGUUCUGACUAGGCUGCCUGUCACAUCUGCACAAUGGGAAGCUGGGCCAGAGGGUUUUACGGUCCACACUGAACUUGAGGUUCUGGGAGGGCAGUCAGAGUUUAGUUACAAUCUUUGUUUUCCAGGAGACCCAAGUUCAAGUCCCAUUCCCCAGUUUCUUGUUGCUGUGCAGCCUAGGACAAGCCACUCCCCUCUCUGUACUGUCCUCCCAGCACAGGUGGUUGGUAUGAGGAGCAGUCUGGCUCACAGGGCUUGUCCUGGACAGUGGUUUCUUUCCCUACAUCUCCUUUGAGUUGGCAGAGGCCCACAGACAACCAACCCCAUCUCCGGAGCAUAGACCUUGUCUACCGCAUAGCCAAGUUUCCCAUGCACUCCAGAUUUGAGGACGGCCAGCUGCCGUGUAAUUCAAAUGAGAGCCCUGUUGCCCUUUGAGGACAAGCCUCAUGUAAGGUCCACCUGUCACCUGAGUCUCUGUGGCCCAGCUCAGUGCAUGGCCUCUGCUAGUGCUGAGACACCAGAUGCCUAUAGCCUCAUGUCUGCCCUGCAAGGGGUGCUAGCCUAUCCAGGGGCCACGGGGCUGGGUUUUCGACCAGCUCAUGUGGUGCUGGCUUGUCUGCAUGUGUCAGUGCUGAAGCCCUGUGAAGAACCCUCUCCUGCCCCUUCGAUGCCUGCCCCAGUCUCCAGAUAAGAUGGGAAGGGAAGUGGAUGAGGGACUCCAUUCAGCCUGACCUCAGUUAACAUUUCAGCUCUGCCAGGCAUCAGCUGUGCAUCACAAGAGAGGUCACUGAGCUCCUGAGUCCCAGCUUCUGGUCUGUAAAAGCGGGUGCUGAUUCCCUUGGCAGGAGGGGUGUGAACAGCAAAGGCUGCCAAGUCUCUGCACAUGGGAGGCAUCGGCAGAAACAUUUCUGUUGUUCAGAGCAAGGUACUUGUGCCCUGGACCAGCGUCAUCAGCAUCACCUGGGAACUUGUGAGCAAGGGAAUUGUCAGACCCUCUCCCCAUGUGCUGAGUUGGAACCAAAGAGAUGGGGUGACGCCAUGGAUCUGACUGUUCACAGCCCUGCAAGUUCUACAGCAUGGUAAGGCCAGAGACCUCGGACUUGGAGAUAUGUUGCAAACUUCUUCUUCCAUGGUAUUUCCUUGCCUGGUUCUGCUUCCUUCCUCCGAAUGGGACUUGGGAGAGUCUCCGAACUUGGGAGGGCAGUGAGUCUGGGCUGGAUCUGUCAGCUGGGCUUGGAUAAUGUUUGCUGGAUUGGAGGCAAGAGAAAGGGCAGUAGGACCCUUGGGUCCUGUCCUCCUCUGGGUGCAGACAAGGGCCUCUUAUCUGUGCCUGUCUGGGAGGGCUGCCCCUCCUCAUUCCCUGGACAGGAGUGUGCGGCUCCUGUGCAGUCUGUCUCCCCCUGCUGCCUGUCACCUGGGCACACUAAGGAGACACGAUUGUGGAGGCAUGCAGUGGGUGCUUGAACCCUUUGUGGGACAUGAGAGGAUGGGCACUCUGUAGAGUACUACAGAGCACUUCUGGGAGAAGCACAAGGGGACAGAGAGUGGUGAUUCAGAUGCAGGCCCAGCCUGGGGGCACUUGAGCUGUAGCCAUCCCAGGUGUCCAUCAAUUCCACAUGUGGGCAGCAAGCCAGGUGCUUUGAAUGCAGAGUUAAUAAUUAGGUAAAAUCAAACGGUCUAUUCUUGAAUACGAAACAGAGCAGCAUAAUGAACUUGUAAAACCUUUUAGAUUCUUUUCAGCAUGGUGACAAGUUUUUUUAAGUUGUUUUGAAGCUUCUUUUCUCGUGUGGUUUUUAUUAUGGUAAAAUAUACAUAACAUAAAAUUUACCCUUUUAACUAUUUUUACGUACAUAGGUCUGGGACAUUAAGCACACUCAUGUAGUUCUGCAAACGUCACCACCAUCCGUCUCCGGAACUUUUCCAUCUUCCCAAAAUGAAAUUCGGUCCCCAUUAAACACUAGCUCCUGUCCUUCCCUCUCCUUGGCCCCUGACGGCCACUUAUUCCAUUAAAGCCCUGACUGAGAUAAAAGGAGGUGGUGGGAGGUUCUAAGAAACCCCUCCUUCAAGAGUAUACUUAAGAACCCAGUUUUCUUGAGGCAGGACCUCUGCUUGACCUCCAGACGUGAGCACAGCACAGAGGUAUAGACGUAGGCGGGAACGUUGGGCCCCUUUGGAAUAGUUGCACAUGCUUUAUUUUGCCCUUGAUGAAAAGAGCCGUGUUAAGUUUAUAAAAGAGCACUUGCAGAAGAAGAAAGCCUUGGACCCAGCCAUGGCCUUCCUGAGUUGUUGACAGCUGUUAUUCACUGAAAACCUCCCUGGAAACAAAGAGAUAUUGCAGCAUUGUUCAGCGUGGGUGUUUGAAGUGGCCUCCUUCCAGAGCUCUGCUGAUGGAGGGGCCGGGUCUGGGCCAGGGCCUCGUGCCUCCUGCUUUCUUCCUAUAGCUGCUGCAGCUUCGAAGGAGCCUGGGAGUGUCCUGAAGCAGUCCAACUUGCAGGCAGUCCUUUCUUCCACGUGCCUGUGACUUCCUGAUGCUCUACUACUCCCUUCACAGGGCUGUGCUGCUUUGGCAGAGAAGCAAAGAUGACAGGCACCUUCAGGACCCCUGCUUGUCGAUGUCCCUGGGAUAUCACCUGAGUGCUAGGGUAGGAAGAAUCUGGGGCACUUAAGAAAAACUGAAAGUGGCCAUUUUUUUCCCCAGGAAGGGAGGUACCCACGUCCACAUCCUGCAUCUUCCUCUUUGUGAAAUCCAUGCUGCGGGCCGGCCCUGGAUGCUGUCUGCAGGCCUGUCCCCGCUGGGUGCUGACAGCGUGGGCCCCUGUGCCUUGCUGAGUCAUCUCGGGCUCACUUUUCCCACCAGUGCAACGGGGUUAAUGACGCCUGCCCCGGCUGGGGACUCAAACGAGAAAACCUAGGUGAAAGUGACUUGAAACUCAGAAAGUGCCUUCCACGUGGCCUGUGGUGGCCUUGUGGCGGGCAUCCCUCUGGGGGAGACCUGCGGAGCGGGUUUGGCAGGGCCUCCGGAUGGGGUCUCUGGGGGGGGGAGCCCCUCCAUCCCCCGGCUCACUCACCUCCAUCCCCCCCCACUCACCUCCCACGGGUAUGAUCAUUUCCUACGUGGGCCCUGACAAUGGAGGGGAAGCCCUUUGGAGAGGUCCGUCCGGGUAAGAGCAGGUGAGGCAGGUCCUGGACAGGGCUCCCAACUCACCCUGUGCUGUCACUGGCUUGGUGACACUUCCUCUGGGAGUUCUCCCAGGGGCAGACCACCUGUGCUGGGAGUGCUGGUUGAGCUGUCUCCCUGUAGACAUCUACCUUUAGCCCAGGUCCUGGAACAUGGGAGGUCUUCAACUAGCAGUGAGCACCCUAACAAAUAUCAUCAUGGAACAUCAGUCAUCGUACCUAUUUAUAAUUAUUUACUUCUUUAAGAUUAGUUGAAGAAUAAGUUUUGGGGAGGAAAAAAAAACAUGCCGCAAAAGUAGCAUCAUCAACAGUCUGGUUUCUCAACGUGCCACUGGUAGCUGGGUGGGCCCAGAGCCUGGUAGAAACACUGGUUCAGACCUGAUCCAGACUGGCUGAGUCAGCAUUUACUUUUCGGGUGUCUUCAGGGCCCUUGCAGAUGAGGGAGAGAAGCUCGUGCAGGAUCACCUUCCCAGACCUGGGAGCAGCGGAGCUUGUGGAUUCUCACCUCUGGGGAGACUCCCAGCCACAAAGCCAGGGAUUUCCCAGCUCUGGUGGGGGGGUGCUGCCAAAAGGGGACACACAUGCUCACGGCUCUGGGGGUGGCUAGGGACCCCUCCUUCACUCCUGCAGCGUGUAGGCCAGUGGCCUAGGAGGAGUGAGAACAACCCGCUGCCUUGGCUUUCUCUGGCCCCCUUGUCCUCGAGGGACCCUGGCUGACUAACACCUUUGCCCUGCCCAGGCGGAGAUUUUGGUGCCCCAUACAGGGAGAUGUGCUAAGAGGUGACUUUGGCCUCAAUUAGUCCCAGGCUCCAGAUAAGAGGAUUCCAGAUCCUUACCCAUGCAGGCGACUGCAGCCCUCCUAGUCUCCCUUAGACGUACCUGCCUUCUCUCCUGCUCCUGGGAACAGCCCUUGCACUCCAGUCUUGGGUGGAUUGUGAUUCUGCACUAUUAUUUUACCAUGAGCUGAGGUCGGGAGAAGACUACUAUUCCAAGUCUGGGCCCAGCUAGCCAUUUAUUCCAUCAGUCCUUUUUGAGCACCUACUGUGUGCCAGGUGCUCAGCUGGGCACUGAAGACACAGCAGUCACCACCCUGGCCCUCAUUCUCCAGGAAGACACUGGCAAAUGAUGGUUAAGAAGCCAAAAUCAGCAUUUUGCUCAUCAGCUGCGUGACCUCUGGAACCUCUCAGGGUCUCGAUUUCUUCAGAUUUAAAAUGGCAAUGGACAGGUGGUUUCCCUGAGAGGGUUUCUGUGAGGAGGAAGUGCGUUAAUGCACAGUGCCUGGCGAUACUUAUGCAGACAGGAAGGGGGCUGCUCAGGGACCAAGUGCUAAGUGUGAGCAACCCUCUGGGUCUCCUGCUAUAUUCUAAAACCCAUUUGAAUGCUGGCAGACUGUCCUUCAGCUGUCCUUUGGCACUCAGGGCCUGAGACCCCAGCUUCCCAUCUGCUCAGAGGGGAAUUUAGUCUCCUCCUCAGGUGGGAGUGAAGACUGACCGAGCCAUGUAGACAGGUGUGUGGUGGUGCUCAGAUCAGGGGUCCUGUCCUCCUCAGCUCUUGGGGAGGAUCUCCAUGUCUGAACUGGUUUCUCUAAUCCUUGAUUUAUUGCCGUGACGGUGUUUGUUCUUUGUGAGUCCUUCUGCUUCAGCUUUGUGAUGAAUAAAUCCUUGAUCACAGUCAAUUCCUCAAACAGAGCGACCUUGGGGCUGAAUUCUUUGAACCUGUGUUUGGUUAUGUCACCAAACUGAACAAUGGGGUUUACAGCUGUCCUUCUCUGGACAAGGACAUUUGACCAACUGUUUUUGCAGCAGGAUUUGAGGAGGGUGAGGAGCAUGUGAUUCCAUGUUUAAAUAAGCCUAUCUACACAAGGGGAGGAAGGGAGCCCUCUACAUAGAGGGCAGUGGCACCCACCAUCCCCAGGAGACCCAAGGAGAGACCCUGCCUGGGCAGAGGCCCAGAUGCCACUGGCUAUCCUGUGAGCAGGAGGCUGCUCUGGAGCCUUGGACUGCAAGGUUCCCGGGGUCCUUAAGUCAUGCCACAUGGUACCCUUCUGAGGCUCAAAUCCCCCUCGAGUCCACUCAGCUGCCGCAGAGGCUGUGUCUGGAUGCUUCUGAGGGCAAAGCUGUGGCCUGACCGUGUCCCUCCAGAAGUUCACAUGUUGGAAACGAAUCCCACGUUCACAUGAGAGGACAUUUGGAGCUGGGGCCUUUGUGGGUAAGGGAACCCCACCAUGGCACUGCUGGAUUUGCCAGAAGAGGAGAGGGCCCAGGCUGGAUCGCUUGCCCUGUCCCCCAAUGAGAGGGGCAAGGAGGUCCCCUAGAUUCCAGCCCCUCACCCAGGGCUUCCACCCCCCAAAGCCGUGAGAAAUGUUUCUUCUCUUCAGAAACUACCCAGUCGGUGGGAUUCCACUGAGCCGCAAAGAGUACGCGAGACAGACACACAGCCUCCUGCCACAGCUGGGGUUGAUCUACUCUUGAUUUUUUUUCCCAUGGAUUUUUUUCAAGGCACAACUUACAAUACAAUGUGCAAGUCUUAAAUACACAGCUGGGGGACUCCCCCCCACAUCACUGUGUACCCAUAGCCCAGAUCAAGGUGGAGAACGUCAUCAUCAGCUUCCCCACCUUCCCAGGGAGCAGUCCCCACACACUGUCAGUUCUCUGAUGCUGUCACCGUGGGUCAGCCUUGCUUGUUCUUGAGAUCCAGGAAAGUGGAGUCAAGGUGACAUUCAUCAGCCUCUGGCUGAUUCCUCUGGACUGAACACCCUCUGGCUCUGCCCACCCCUCUGGACCCCUUCAGCUCCUCUGCCUGGCUUCCUGGUCCCCUUCCUGGUCCUUGCUUGUCUGGUGGCAGGACCGUGGUAGCAGUCAUGGUGACAUGCCGUGAGGAUGUGAUGGCGUCCAAGGCUGUGUGGCAGAGUAGGGCUGCGGGCUUCGGUGUCUGGACUGGGAAGGCGAGGUCUAGACUAGGGACAAGGUAGGCUGCUGGGUUGACUGCAAGGCCAGCUCUGUGGCCUUGGGUAGCCUUUGACUUUGCUGGACUUGGGUUUGCCCUUCCCCAGAAGAAGGUGCCCUUUGAUUUGGGGGCUCUUCCAGGUCCCUUUGACCCACAGCCUAAUUCUUCAUCUUCCCCUGCAGGUUUGUGGAUACAGCCUCUGCCAUUUUGCAGUUCCCAAGGGCAAAUGCUCAGGGGCAGGUGUAUUUUUCACCCCCCUUGAAGUUCACCAUUCUGCAGCCCACUUUAUUUUAUCCCCUCUGCUGGAAGGAAGACUUGGGCUCUCGGUGGGUGGGUCUCUAUAUAGAAGGUCCCAGAAUUGGCUGCAAAGAUGGUUUUGUUUGGAGAGUAUUUUGAUGUCUUGGUUCAGUAGUUUUAGAAAAUAUGAAGACACAGAAAGACCUGUAUUUGGGAUUCAGUUCAACAGGGGGCCCUGGAGCCACAUAACAGGGAGGUGGGUAGGAUAUGGCUGAGCCACCACCCAUGGUGACUGUGGGCCAGACCUAUACUGUGGUGGAGUGGGGUUCUCAUUGGUGACAAGAGUGAAUGAGCCCUUUUAGGAUCCUCGUGGUCAUCAGAUAACAUGGCCAUCGUAAAACCUUGGUGCAGUGGGUAAACUUGGGUGCAGGUAAGGGCUUACCUGGGAAGUGAGCUUAUUAUGGGUCUUGUUUCCUGGUUUGGUUCUUUUGUCUCUUGUCCUUAUUGUCCUCUCUCAUCUCCUUCUGCUCCUUUGUUUUUCUUUUUUCCCAAAUGUAUUCCCUCUCUUUCACCCCUGUGCCACCCAGGGUGCUUCUGACUACAGUAGUCCCCACUCUUUCACAGUUUCCAUUUCUGUGGUUUGUUAUCGAUAGUCAACUGUAGUCUGAAAAUGCUAAAUGGAAAACUGCAAAAACAAACAAUUCAUAUGUUUUAAACUGCAUGAUGAAAUCUUGAAGCAAUCUGUUCCAACCCCUCACCCCCUUUGUCCAGCGUAUCCAUGCACUAUACACUACCUGCCCAUUAUCACUUAGUGGCUGUCUCUUGGUUAUUGGGCCAACUACUAUUGCAUUGCAAUGCUUGCCUUCAAGUGACCUUCAUAGUAGUCUAAUGCUAUUGUCACACAACUAUGUCAUUCAUCUCACUGCAUCUCAUCAUGGAGGGUAAAGAAGGGUGAUUAUGGUACAAUAAGACAUUCUGAGAAGGAGAGCACACUCACACAGCUUUUACUACAGUGUACUGCUUUAUUUGUUUUAUUUUAUUAUUAGUUAUCAUUGUUCAUAUCUUACUGUGCCUAGUCUGUAAGUUAAACUUAUUCAUAGGGAGGCAUGGAGAGGAAGAGCAUAGUCUACCUAGGACUUGGUGGCAUUUGCAGCCUGGGGAGUCCUCUGGGAGUCUUAGAACAAUCCCCUUCAGAUAAGGGGGUGACUGAGUGUACCCUUUUCACUCUCUGCCCUCCUAAACCCACGGCUCCCUCUCACAGACUCCUCCCCUCAGAGCCCUGCCUGGAUGUGACCCUCUGCACACGGCCCCCAGUGGCAGGGUAGGCAAUCCCAGGAGGCCACAGGGCACUGGGGCUUGACCACUUCUAUGCUUGAGCUUUGUUGCACUGGCUGGCUGUCUCGGGACACUCAGAGCCCACCCAUUAGGGUGACUGUGGCUCCACACGCCUCACAUCCCUUAACUGAGAGACACAGGGGCCCAUGGUCUGAGCCGCCUGUCCCAGACCCUAGGACAGUUCAUCUCCAGCUCUCUUCAGCCCCUCAAGUCUGUCUGCUCUACACUGAGCCCACCUGGGCCUGCCUUGUCCCCACCUUAAGCUCUUUGAGGACUGGGUCUAAGCCUCACUUGGAAACUCUGUGCUUAUUUUCAAGCAGAAUAAGCACUUAAAUGUCUGUUUCAUUAUGAGGAAGACCAAAGGAACAGGUGCACCAUGCGAGAUGUGUUUGCAUGUAAACUUUCUGUGACUAAGCAAGUCCUUGUUACAGGGCACAGCCUGUACCCUUUGGCAGUACCUCCUGCUGUUACUUGGAACUGAGAAGGUCAGGGCCACAGGAGCUUGUGGCUAAGGGUUCAUCUCCAUCCCCAGUCCUCCCUUGGCUUCCAGUGUGCCAAACAUCCUGGGACGUGACCUGCGAGGCACAGGGGCUUUAAACUGAAAGGUCAGCAUUUCACUUCCACCUAUGGUGCUUGCCCCGAGGGACCAAUUGAGAGACGGUGAUCUUUCUCCCGUCACUCCCCUGCGAUGACUUCAUCCAAGCAGCAUCUGCUGUGUGGACCAGGGGCCCGCACUAGUAAGGGCUUGGAGCCUACCCUUGUAUUAUGUCAUUUGGUUCCCAGUGACCGAACCUCAGAAUCAAAACACAACCAAAACAAAAGGGGAAAUGUUUCUCUGAGUUCAGGGUGACCUCCAGGUUCUUGGUGAUGGGCAGAACCGGGUUCCCGGGAGCCUCAUGGGCACUGGCUUCUUGUCUGAAACCAGCCAUCAAAUGUGUUUCUGAGGAGGAGCAAGGGCAGAGGGUUGAUGUCACCUUCGUGCCUGCAUUUCUCAGUGGGGUCUGUGAAGAUCAGCAGCUUUCUGCAUUCCAUGAGGAGUUGGUGUGCUGGGCUCCCAGGUCCCAGCACGAUGGGGUGACUUAAUUGCGUAGAAUCACCUGACUAAUGUGCAGUUCAAGGCCAGCUCGCCUCCUCUCUACAGAGCCUGAUUAGAAGUGGCUGCAGCUCAUGUGCUUUUAAAAGAGACACAAGUUCCCAAUCAGGAGGAAACCGUCAAGGUUUUAUUUCGCAACCUCCUUUGAAAGACCUGGACAUGCCCUUCAAGUGAUAGAGAGGUAAUUUACAAUACUUCCCUUUAAACUAGUUUCCAAAAAUAGCGGGGCUAUCUCACAGUCAAGGCUGCCUCACAGCCAAGGUCUGCCUGUGCUUCAGAAUGUGGUACUGCCCCAUGAGGCUCGGGACCAGGCCCCUCGGGAGUAACAGCCCACGUGGCUCUCCAGGGGCCCCGGGCAGCGGCCUUGUUUCCAGGAACACUCGUAACACCCAACACUCCAGGUGAAGGGGGUCUGGGCUCCUCUUUGUAACGGGCAUCCAGGAAGUCCUAGAAGGAGAGGAGCUCCUGUCCCUGCCAGUACCUGCUGGCCCUGCCUGAGGGCUGUGUAGACCCUCAGCCUGUGUAGACUCCCUGGCUGUGGAGACCCGUGUACAGCACCGAGGUCCCCCGCGGUGUGAGUGAGCAGGGUUUGGGGCCCUGCUGCCCAGGUCCUCUACUCAGCAGGCCUGGUCUGGCUUUCUUGCCUUUUUUGCUUUUGACAAGCGAAUCCUCUUGGAACACCUGCCACCCUGCAGGACAGUUGUGCAUGUGUGUCUUCUCCACAGCUGUUGCUUCUGGGGAGUUUUCAUGGUUUGGGGUUCAGAAUAGCCAGUGACGCUCAGGGAUGUUCUCUAAGGGUGGUUGAUGGUCUGGGAGGACAGGAGGGGUACUGAGGGUGCCUGCUGCAGGGGAUAGCUAACGCCUGGCCCGUUGCCUGCUGGGAGACUAGCUGACCUCAGACACGUGCCUGUCCUUGGGGUACCCUGUGGGGAAUCUUCAGUGUGUCCCAUGAGCACCUUGGGUUGGGGUCCUGGAAGGCUGGCCAGGCUUCUGGCAUGGGUUUGUUAAAUACUGGCUCUAUAUGAGGCUCCUUGAAACAAUAUAAAGAGCAACAAGGGUCCCGGCCCUCAUGCACCUCAGUCUUACAGAGGCCGUGGAUGAGGAGGGCAUCUUGGCACCUGGCACUACAGAGCUCCCUGCAGCAGACCCCACAUCCACACAGACCCUGCAGGCCGGUCCCUGCAGUUUCUGCAGCCUGGCUUUGGCGCCUUCCAGCUCUGCCACUCCAGUGGCUGGGGGCUAGCCUGAUGUCUUUUCCAGUGUCCUGGUCCUCUGGGGCUGGAGGCUGCGUGGAAGGACCAGGAGGCCCUGGCUCAUCUUGCUCUCUCCCCUUUCUCUGGCCCAGGCCAGCCCACCUCCUGAGUCUUGGGCACAAUCCAGGGCAGUGCAGAGUGUGGUGCCCUGGUGUCUGGAGAGGCACUUCCCCUGGAGUCCUUGGCAGUGUCUUCCCUCUGAGUAUGUCACAGAGGCCCCCUCUGCUGCACGUGCCAAUGGGUAUGGUCCCCCCUGGUCCCACGGCGCAUGCUCCAGAAGUCAGUUUCUCUGCUGGCCCCUGUUCCAGGCCACCAGCAUCUUUGCCCUCCUGUCUGGCUCUCAUCUGUCCCUUGUCCAUCCUGUCCAAGUGACCUUGCUAAAAUGAAACUCAAUGUGUCACUCUGCUUAGCCCUCUGGGACUGUCAUUGCACUCAGGGACAAAAACAAAACAAAACAAAAACCCCUAAACCUCCCUCUCUUUGGGUGGCCUCCAAGGUCCUCCGUGGCCCAGCCCUUCUCUCCUCCCCAGCAGUCUGUGCCACCGUCUCUCUGGAGCCACCUCUCCUUUCUUCAGUGCCACUGCAUUCUGGGCCCUUCCAACCUCCUCAGGCCUCUGUCCCUUUGCCUGGAGGGGACAUCUGCUAUCUGUGUAUCUGCUCCAGGUCUCUUCUACUGGCCACUGUCUUAUCCUGAUGUGACCCAAAUACUGUUCCUCAGAGGGACACCCUCCAGCCCCCCAUCAAAUACGGCUACCUCCACUUCUCUGUGUGUCUGUCCCUGAGCUUUGACUCGUGCUGUGGAGUCCUGUGUGUGUGAUGACCUGGUUAGGGCCUCUGCUCCCCCACACGGGGCACCUUGGAGGGUCCACCCAGAAUGUGUCGUCUGAAUGCAACCCAGUCCACAGCAGGGCCUCUGUGAACGUGGGCAAACGGCAGGCUGUUGCCACUGCUGCGUUACCUGGACAAGAGCCCUGAUUGCCAUGGUCCCCCCCCCCUCGUGCCAAGGUUGAAUUCUACUUGUAGUUAACUGCAGUGGUCCUGAGGACAGGCCUGCACACCUUUAUCUGGAUAUGGAAUAGUUAUGCACACCUCAUCAGAAAGUACGUCAGAGUCCAAGUUACUCCCAUCUCCUUGGCUUCAUAAAGCCAGGAGCUGAGGGCAAAGGUGUCCUGAAGUCACACUAGAACAGGCACAGGUGACUUAAAGGGCUACCUCCUAAUGUAUCUCCCCACACGUCACGCCGUCCUGACAUCUACGGAGGCUCCCUUCUUUCUCACUGUUGUGAGCAGUGGCUGGACCCUGGCCACAGUGGCUCAUGAGCUCCUGUAAACAGGCCAUCCCCUCCUGCUGUCCAUGGGCAGCUGCUCAGGACUGUCUAUGUGAAGUCCAUGCAGAGCUCCAGGGGCUGCAGGCCUCUCUACAGGGGCUGGAGGGUUCAGCCACAUGAGUGGAGGAGGUGGCAAUGGGGCCUUCAGCUAACCUGACCUUGCAGAGCCACCAGUCCUGGAUCUGCUGGAGGUGAGACAUGGGUGGGUCAGCACCCACCAACUGUGGCUCCUGGUGGUUGUCACACUCAGGCCCCUGGAACACGCAGUCAGUGUGACACUAUUGCUGGUUCCCAGAGGUGGAUGCCCAUGGCUGCUAUCUCAUCAAAUCCCUGCUCACCUGAGCCUCUGGUCCUGGAUUUGAAGCCACAUCCAAGCAGACCUGAUGACCGCAUCCAGGAAGGCAAAGCAGACCGUGGACCUGCGGAGACAGGGCAGGUGGGGAGGGCAAGAAGUGCAGGUGGCUUGUGAAAAGACCUGGAGGGGUUCUUGUGGCUCAGUCCCUCAGGAAAGGACAAGGUCUCUUGGGACACUCUGAGGGUUAUCUGUUUCUGCACAAAGCAGGACAAAGCAGAGCAGCUCCAGGGGCUGGGAGUCUGAGGUGACCAGUAGGGCUCAGCAGAAAGGACACGACGGUGAGAAUUCAGAGGGACACAUGUGGCAGAAGCCCUCCUGUGAGGAGUAGGCAGUCUUCCUAAAGGAGUUGACUUGGGCCCGGGUUCUGAAGGAUGUGUGAGGCUUUCCAGGCAGAGACUGAAAGGGCAUUUCAGAUAGUGGGCACAGUGCGGACCAGACAAACAAAACUGCUGUCCAAGAACGACAGCAGCCAAGAGAGAUGCAGUGGCAGAUUCAAGUGCACCAAGGUAGAGGUGACACCUGUCUAGGCUGAGUAUGCAGCGGCAAUGGCACCUUCACUGUUCCGUGUUACUCCUGCUUUGAGGUGAGAAGGACUGUGGUCAUUGCAAUGUCUUUCUGAAGCUGUAGGGCCAGUUAAAUGGUAAUGCCAUUUUGAAACCCUGCAUCUGUGGCCACUCCACUCCACCCUGGGGCUCUGCUGCAGGUGACGUCUUGAGCUGCAACAGGACUUGGGGAUAACAAGGACAGUGAAAUUGCAAGUGUUUCCUGAGGGUCUAGGGUCCCCUGCCUGAGGUGGGAGGCUGGCAGUUGGGUGAUGGUCACAUGGUUGUCAACUGGGAAGCUGUUCCACAAGUCGUCGCGGGGUUCCUAGAGGAGCAGGGACAUGCCUCUCACAGGUGUGCAAGGCUGCUAAACCUCCCGGCUUCCUCCACGCAGGACUUCUUGGAGUCUUGCAGGUCCAAGUGCCCUGUGGGCUUCCAAAAUGGAGAAUGUGGCCCAGGGUGGCCGUUUCCACGUGUGGUCCAGAAACCCUGGGUCCCCGAGUCACCUUAAGGGGCCUGGGGAGUCAGAACUAUUUCCAAAACAGCAAUAAGGCCUCAUUUCACUCUCACUGUCACGAGUACAUGGUGGAAUUUUCCAGAGGCUCCAUGACAGCCCAAGGGACUGACUCCAGGAGCGGAGACGAGAGUCCAGCUGUUCAGCCAUGCGCGAGAGGGGCCUGCUGACACGGGGACAGCGCCUUCUUUCCAC